UGUUCGCCGAUUAAAGUGGUACGCGAGCUGGGUUUAGAACGUCGUGAGACAGUUCGGUCCCUAUCUGUUGUGGGCGCAGGAUAUUUGAGAGGAGCUGUCCCUAGUACGAGAGGACCGGGAUGGACGAACCUAUGGUGUUCCAGUUGUCGUGCCAACGGCAUCGCUGGGUAGCUAAGUUCGGAAGGGAUAACCGCUGAAAGCAUCUAAGCGGGAAGCCCACCUCAAGAUAAGAUAUCCCUCUUGAUGGAGACAUCAAGACUGAAGACCCCUUAUAGACGAUAAGGUUGAUAGGUCAGGUGUGUAAGCACAGUGAUGUGUUGAGCUAACUGAUACUAAUCGGUCGUGAGGCUUGACCAUA
rnacentral:rRNA from 1 species